AUUGAACGCUGGCGGCAGGCCUAACACAUGCAAGUCGAGCGGAUGAAGGGAGCUUGCUCCUGGAUUCAGCGUCGGACGGGUGAGUAAUGCCUAGGAAUCUGCCUGGUUGUGGGGGAUAACGUCCGGAAACGGGCGCUAAUACUGCAUACGUCCUGAGGGAGAAAGUGGGGGAUCUUCGGACCUCACGCUAUCAGAUGAGCCUAGGUCGGGUUAGCUAGUUGGUGGGGUAAAGGCCUACCAAGGCGACGAUUCGUAACUGGUCUGAGAGGAUGAUCAGUCACACUGGAACUGAGACACGGUCCAGACUCCUACGGGAGGGAGCAGUGGGGAAUAUGGGACAAUGGGCGAAAGCCUGAUCCAGCCAUGCCGCGUGUGUGAAGAAGGUGUUCGGAUUGUAAAGCACUUUAAGGUGGGAGGAAGGGCAGUAAGUUAAUACCUUGCUGUUUUGACGGUACCAACAGAAUAAGCACCGGCUAACUUCGUG
rnacentral:rRNA from 1 species